CGAACGGGUGAGUAACACGUGAGCAACCUGCCCUAUACAACGGGAUAACACAGAGAAAUUUGUGCUAAUACGGUAUAAGACCACAGUAUCGCAUGAUACAGGGGUAAAAGAUUUAUCGGUAUAGGAUGGGCUCGCGACCCAUUAGCUAGUUGGUGAGGUAACGGCCCACCAAGGCAACGAUGGGUAGCCGACCUGAGAGGGUGAUCGGCCACACUGGGACUGAGACACGGCCCAGACUCCUACGGAAGGCAGCAG
rnacentral:rRNA from 1 species